rnacentral:rRNA from 1 species
AUACGAAGGGGGCAAGCGUUGUUCGGAAUAACUGGGCGUAAAGCGCACGUAGGCGGAAUGUUAAGUUAGAGGUGAAAUCCCAGGGCUCAACCCUGGAACUGCCUUUAAUACUGGCAAUCUAGAGACCGAGAGAGGUGAGUGGAAUUCCGAGUGUAGAGGUGAAAUUCGUAGAUAUACGGAGGAACACCAGUGGCGAAGGCGGCUCACUGGCUCGGUACUGACGCUGAGGUGCGAAAGCGUGGGGAGCAAACAGAAUUAGAAACCCUAGUAGUCC